AUCGCAUGAUCCGGUGUGAAAAACUCCGGUGGUAUGAGAUGGAUCCGCGUCUGAUUAGCCAGUUGGCAGGGUAACGGCCUACCAAAGCGACGAUCAGUAGCCGACCUGAGAGGGUGACCGGCCACAUUGGGACUGAGACACGGCCCAAACUCCUACGGGAGGCAGCAGUGGGGAAUAUUGCACAAUGGGGGAAACCCUGAUGCAGCGACGCCGCGUGAGCGAAGAAGUAUUUCGGUAUGUAAAGCUCUAUCAGCAGGGAAGAAGAAUGACGGUACCUGACUAAGAAGCACCGGCUAAAUACGUGCCAGCAGCCGCGGUAAUACGUAUGGUGCAAGCGUUAUCCGGAUUUACUGGGUGUAAAGGGAGCGCAGGCGGUGCGGCAAGUCUGAUGUGAAAGCCCGGGGCUCAACCCCGGUACUGCAUUGGAAACUGUCGUACUAGAGUGUCGGAGGGGUAAGUGGAAUUCCUAGUGUAGCGGUGAAAUGCGUAGAUAUUAGGAGGAACACCAGUGGCGAAGGCGGCUUACUGGACGAUAACUGACGCUGAGGCUCGAAAGCGUGGGGAGCAAACAGGAUUAGAUACCCUGGUAGUCCACGCCGUA
rnacentral:rRNA from 1 species